AGAUUUUUUGCCGUUUGUCUGCGCAAGUUGUUCAGCUAUUUUUUGUUUGGAGCACAAGAGCAAAGAUGCACAUAAUUGCAGCGAGCACGCCAUCAAUGAACUGUUUGCAGUUACUUUGAGAGAGGAAUUCUUAGUUCUCAUCGAGAUCAUCAACCUGUUAUAAUGAACGCUUUUCAACCCAUGGAUUUGUCAUCAUCAACAUCGUCUUCACAGACAUUUCAACUUGUUAUUCAUCGUGCUUCAACAUAAAUUUCAUCAUCGCCAUCAUUGUGAACUUUAAUUAAAGGAAUCUUCGCCAACUGACUUGGAUUUUAUUUGAAUUUAAUGAUAACCUUGGAUUGCACAUCUAACUCUUCAAGACAUGUAAGAUGUUUUGUUUUGUUGAUUGAUAUAUUUCCUGUAAUAAAAUAGAAAAUCAAAUUUAAAACUAAAUUUUCAUUGUUAUUUGUUGCAGUAUCGUAACAAAUAAUUUUGGGGGCUUGUCCGAGAAACGAAAGCCAAUUUAACAAAAGCCAAUUUGAAUUGAAAACAUUUUGAAAAUUUUUGAAAAGUUCUAGAAUAUACUAUACUGUAUUACUACUUGCUUGUAUUUCUGUAUAUUCCAUCAUGGCUACAUUUGAUGUUGAAGAAUUUCUUGAAAUGACAGAACUGUCAUAUGAUCAUUUGAAGUCACUGAAAAAAAGAUGAUUUGAUAGCAGUUUGUGAUCAUGUGGGUGUAUCUCUCGCCCCAGGUUUAAAGAAGGCAGAGAUAAUUGACUUGUUAGCUAGUCACAUGAAACUUACAGAGGAGUCUGAAACUUCUAUCAAUAUGUCAGGUGAUGCUCAGAUCCAACUGGCAAACAUUGAAUUGGAAAAGGAAAAAAUCAAAGAAAACCUUGAAAAGGAAAGAAUCAAAGAAAACCUUGAAAAGGAAAGAAUCAAAGAAAACUUUGAAAAGGAAAGAAUCAGAGAAAACAUUGAAAUGGAGAAAAUGAGAUUGGAGUACCAGUUAAAGUUGAAAGAAAUGGAGAUAGCUCAUGCAAAUACUAAUAGUAACUCUGCUCAAGAUAAAUCUCCCCAGGGCUUUGAUGUGGCAAAAAACAUUCGCCUUUUGAUGAAGAGGGAGUUGAUACAUAUUUUGUGUCAUUUGAUAAAGUGGCAAAGAGACUGAAUUGGCCCCGAGGAAUACUGGACUCUUCUCCUCCAAAGUGGUUUUGUUGGAAAGGCUGCAAAAGUCUAUUCUUCGCUCUCUGAAAUGCAAUCAUGUGACUAUGCUAUGUACAGUAAAAGAAACAAUUCUCAAUGCAUAUGAGUUGGUACCAGAAGUGUACAGACAUAAAUUUAGGAACAUGCAAAGACAAUCAGGCCAGACUUAUGUUGAAUUUGCUAGGGAUCAAGAAAUGAUGUUCGAUAAGUGGUACAGAUCACUGAAAGUUGACAAAGAUUUUGUUCACCCUAGAGAAGUUAUCCUAGAAGAAUUCAAAAAGAGUAUUCCUUUUGUCAUUAAAUCUCACUUAGAUGACCACAGAGUUACUGAAGUCAGUAAAGCAGCCAUAGAAGUUGAUGAAUUUGAGGUCACACAUUAAGGUAGUGGAGAUCCGCAUACAUUCGUAAUUCCGAAGGUUCGGAUAUUCCGAAAGUUCGUUGGAAAACGAAAUGAGGUUCGUAAUUCCGAAGGUUCGUUAAUCCGAAAACAAAAUGAGGUUCGUAAUUCCGAAGGUACGUUAGUCCGAAAAUGAAAUGAGGUUCGUAAUUCCGAAGGUUCGUUAUUCCAAAAACGAAAUAAGGUUCGUUAAUCCGAAGGCUUGUUAGUCCGAAAACGAAAUAAGGCAUGUUAAUCCGAAAAUUAAAUAAGGUUCGUAUUUCCGAAAAUGAAAUUAAUUCAUUUUGGUAACAAGAACGAUGUUGUCCUUACAAGAUAACAGGAUAUUCUGCAAUAAUAGUAAUAACGAACGAUGAUACAUGUGUGUGGUGUGGCCAAAGCAUGUAUUGAUUUAAGAAUAGGCGCCCGGAUCAAGCAUACGAUUAAUUUCAAUCUUAUCUGAGCAAUUGCUGCCCAAGCAAAUGGUUUAAAGAUGCAGGGGAUUAAGUGUGUUGGUCGCGUGCGAGUAACCUCCAGAUAAUAGGAUCUGAUGAUAUUAUGGCCUGAAAACUGGACAUUUCAAGAACUUAGGGAAUUAUGAAUAAGAUGCACGAGUAAAUAUGUUUUUAACAAUUGAUGCAAGCGCAAAUCGCGAGCCGAAAUGUUUGACGACUGUCAUGAAAUGUGGAUUUUAAGAAGUUUGUUGUAUAAUCUUUAUUGCGACACACAUUACUCGCCAAUCAAAAUAAAUGCGAGCGUGCAGCGCUUACUUGAUAUUUCAGCUUCAUAUUGAACAAGAUAUGUAAAUCACCUAAUAGGCAAUGCGAGCGCGAAGUGGGAGCGAAAAUUUUAUUUAUUGACAUAUGAAAGAUUCUUUUUAUUUUCCAAGUCUUCCCCUCAUCUUAUUUUAUUCACUCGUCUUUCUCUUCUUUUUUUCUCCUAUCUUUUCCCUGCUUCUUUCUUUCAUUCUUUCCUUCUUUCUUUCUUCAUGUCUUUUUUUUUUGCUCCGCCAAUAGGGGGGGGGGGGGCGGGACCCCUCUGGCCCCCUCCUGGAUCCGCCUAUGCAUAGAACUGUUUUGUGAAAAAUAAGCUACAUUUUAAAAUGUCAUAACUUUCUUAAUUUACAUCCGAUUUUGAUGAAAUUUUCAGCACUGUGCUAGUUUGAUUUUUCUAUAUUCAUUCAAGUCAGCAUUUUCCUGGAGUGGACUUGACCUGUAAGUAUAGUUUUACUGAAAGGGUAGACUUGUUCAUUUCCAUCCCCGAGAGGAGUUCCGGUGGCAUCUAACUUCGUGGAGACGUCUCCGUGAAGUUAGAUCCCACCCUUAAUGGCCCAAUAAUUUCUAUGAAAAGGGGGAGACAUAAGAACAUAUUUUUUUUAAGGCUCUAAAAAAUAAAAUUUCAGAAGAUGGGAUCAUCAGUG